rnacentral:tRNA from 1 species
CGCAAACGGUAGGGUUCGAACCUACGCGUGAGAUCACACCUGCUUAGCAGGCAGGCGCCUUAACCACUCGGCCACGUUUGC